UUUCACUCUGGGAGAAAACAUUCCAAAACUGGAAUGAUAUCAAGAUUUCAUGACCCCUGAACAAGGAUGGCAUGCAAAUUCCUGAACUCUGGUCUCCAUCUUU
rnacentral:snRNA from 1 species